UUUAGGACCAGUUAGCCACUCAGGAUCUGUCUUGAAGGAUUGACUCAGGCUCACAAUGUGAUUUUUAAAACUCGUGAGGCAUGGCAGUAGGGAGGCUGACCGACCAAUUUUGCUCAACUUUGCUUUCAGCCCGGCUGGGGCCUCCUACAUAAGUCAAGCCUAGGAUUAAAAUGGUAACCAGUAUAAGGGCUGUGCUGAUUAUUAGUGCCAGGAGAUUUAGGUGACCACGGAAGGUUUUGGGGGUCCCGCCAAGAUGCCUCUGCAACUCACCCAGCAAAGCCACAGAACUCCACCUGCCAACGAGCCUCGAGGCUGCUGAACCUGCUGCAGACACACUCAGUCUCGGCCCACGGCGGGCCCCACAUGGCACAAGCCCUUUCCCGCACUGACUCCCCAUGCUGCUUUAUUCCUGACCAUGUGUUGCUGUGUUCCUUCCUGGUUUGGGGCCUGCUUCGGUUCUGGUUCUGGUUUGGCCCUAUCCAAUGUGCAAGUCCUCUCAGCAAUGACUGACAGCCAGGUUUGCAGGUCUGCCCUGGCAGGAUGUGUCCCUAUUGGGGCAGGAGGGGUCCAUUCUCCACUAAGAGAGGACAGAAAAUCUGGCUUAUUCUUUCCUUCCUGCCCUCCUGUGAGCUCAACUCCAUCAGAAGGAUGUGCUGCGCCCCCUGGAAAAGAGAACAGGUUUUAGGAUCUGGACCCAUGAGUGGUGCUUCUGGGUUGGCUGUGGCCUGUGGCUGAGGAUGCAUGGCAGAAGCUACAUGCACUCAGUGGGUCUGUGAGCCUCCAACCGAGAAAAGCCUUUACCUCUCCUCGUGUCUGA
rnacentral:lncRNA from 1 species